AACCCCCCAGUCAGGCUGGGGUUCAGUAAAGCUUUCAGCCAGUUAUCAAAACCUCGGUUGAUUUGUUAAAAAACCUUGCGGUCUGGCAACUGCAAAAGUUUAACAAGAAAUCCAAAG
rnacentral:sRNA from 1 species